rnacentral:rRNA from 1 species
ACGGAGAGGGCAAGCGUUGUUCGGAUUUAUUGGGCGUAAAGGGCGUGCAGGCGGUUGGCUAAGUUCGUUGUGAUAGCGCCCAGGCUUAACCGAGCGAGGACAAUGAAGACUGGUCAGCUAGAGGACGGUAGAGGGGUGUGGAAUUCCGGGUGUAGUGGUGAAAUGCGUAGAGAUCCGGAGGAACACCAGAGGCGAAGGUGACACCCUGGGCCGUACCUGACGCUAAGGCGCGACAGCACGGGGAGCGAACGG